CCUACGGGAGGCAGCAGUGGGGAAUUUUGGACAAUGGGCGAAAGCCUGAUCCAGCAAUGCCGCGUGAGUGAAGAAGGCCUUCGGGUUGUAAAGCUCUUUUGUCAGGGAAGAAACGGUGAGAGCUAAUAUCUCUUGCUAAUGACGGUACCUGAAGAAUAAGCACCGGCUAACUACGUGCCAGCAGCCGCGGUAAUACGUAGGGUGCAAGCGUUAAUCGGAAUUACUGGGCGUAAAGCGUGCGCAGGCGGUUUUGUAAGUCUGAUGUGAAAUCCCCGGGCUCAACCUGGGAAUUGCAUUGGAGACUGCAAGGCUAGAAUCUGGCAGAGGGGGGUAGAAUUCCACGUGUAGCAGUGAAAUGCGUAGAUAUGUGGAGGAACACCGAUGGCGAAGGCAGCCCCCUGGGUCAAGAUUGACGCUCAUGCACGAAAGCGUGGGGAGCAAACAGGAUUAGAUACCCUGGUAGUCCACGCCCUAAACGAUGUCUACUAGUUGUCGGGUCUUAAUUGAUGUACGCAGCUACGCGUGAGUAGACCGCCGUGGGAGGUACGGUCGCGAGAAGUUAAACGUAACAAAUAGAAGUUAGUACGGACGUGAGACGUACGACCGAACGGACGGACCGACGAGGGGAGGGUUAGGGAGG
rnacentral:rRNA from 1 species